rnacentral:misc_RNA from 1 species
GCCAUUUAUUAUGUCUCUGAUCCAAUUUGAAGUACGGUGAUUAUCUUACAUUGGGUUCUUAUAGCCUAAAAAUAAUAUUCUAAAAUCCCUACUCUGCAUGUGUAAAAAUGAACUAAUAACAAUUUUACAGUUGGCAGAGAGCUGCUACUGCAUAUACUAUCAGCAAGGAAAAAGCAAAAAUGAUGGUUCUACAUGUAUCUUCCUGUUAACAAAAUUGAUCUUGUCCAAUUUGUUGCCACACCAUAUUAGUUGAUCUGUCGUUAUUUUUGACAUGUUGAGCACCCUUGACACUAACUUCAUAUCCACUUGUGAGAAGAAGUAGAGAACUUGCUCUGAACUACUGUCUUCUUGAUGUUUUUGGAACUUCCUCAAUAUACAGUUUCCACUCCUCAAUGUGUCUUUAAGCUUCUUGUCCUUCUGCAUUUCAAGAGAACAUGAAGACUAGAACAACCAUGUCUAGUACUUGAAGCAAUAUAGAUGAAGGAAAAAUAAGAAUGAUUAGCUAGCUAGUUAACCUUUUGCAGACUUGUUCUGACUUCUGUCAAAAGCUCUAGUUCAGUGGGGUCUAAGGGUUCGAUUUGAGUUCCUCUUCGACUCUUUGGCAUCACACUGCGUGCGUCUUUAUCAGCUCGAACAAAUCGCCAGAAAAUUCUUAUUGAUUCCUCCAUUAUCUCUACUAGAUUAUCACUUGUAAUUGCAUAGUCAUCCUUCAAUUUUCUUCUUGCCUUUUUAUCCUUUAUACUGUCCUCUCUUAUAACUGGAACUUGAAGGAGAUUACGCAAAAUGCAGCGAUUCUUGACAUAAUUAUGUACCCUCGGUCCUUCAAAAGGUUCAUUCUCUAUAAAUCUCUGCAAAAGUACUUGAAAUUGUUGAAAUUCACCUGCAACUUCAUUGUAUCGACGCAUUCCAUAAGGGUCGAAAUCCCAUAUCUCCAGCGCCUUCUCAUACUGCCAAUGAAGGAUUUCCCAUGAGAGGCACAUUUGACCAACAUAAACCAUUUCCAAAUCACCAUGCAAUUCUCUAAUGAAGCUCAUCUUUGGAUCAGAACUGGAAUUUUUUGGCUUGCCUAGAAGGAAUUUCCGUGAAACAAGGGAUGUCAAUGCUGGUCCUGAGGCUAUAUGGCUUGAAAAUGAUUUAAGUGGGUCCUUUGUUGGGUCUUUUGAUUGAAGAAAGCCCAACGCAUACAUUUUCUGGUAAUUCAAGAUAUCAAAUUUCCGCAUCCUUUCUCUGUAACUCUUGUAGAACUUGUGAAGCUCACCCAUUCUAUCUUCAUGCUGGAACUUCUCAUCAAUCUUCCAUGGCUUUAAAUCUUCCGCUAUUUUUGGUGACUCUUCUUCUUCUAAGAUGGUUGGCAGACCUGUAGCUCUGACCUUUUUCAGCUCCAUUUUGAGCUGUUCUAUCAACUCUUGAUGUUCCCAUAAAAUUUCCAAUCUAUUUGAAUCUUCAGAAUUAUCUAAACUAUUCCUAGGUUCCUUGUCAUUGUAACCGAGUUCUUCUUGUUGUUCAACAUCUUUUUUCUCACCCAAGUUUUCUGUUUCUUGCAUAUUGGACUCCUCUAGAUUUUUACGCUUUUCCAAUAUAUCACUAUCUUCAUCCUCAAAAUCAUCAGGUUCAUAGCCAGCAUUUAAAUGCUGCAAAUUUAUAUCCUCCAUCUCCAAAUCUUCUUCAGUUAAUUCUGCCUUAUCCCUUCCAAUGUCUCCCAAAAUAUCAAGUUCAAAUGCAUCUUCAAAAUCUAUAUCUGACAAGAAGCCAUCGCUGGUUGAAGCUACAAAACGACUUAUAAUCUCAUGGCUCGAAGUAAUUGAAUCAGAAUCUGAAUGAGAAUCUGGAGCAAUGAAGUCCUUCUCUGAUAGAAACUGACCAUCAUCACUUGAAACUUGUUGAUCACUCCGUACAUUGUUCUCCGCAUCAGCUGCUAUUCCCUUCCCAGAAAUAAACCCUUCAACGCAUGUUUCAGACUCUGUCACCUCCUCUUUACAUGCACCAUCUGCAGAAUUCUCUGCUCUCUCCUCUUGAGUAGAUUGUACUGCUUUCCGCUCCACAAAGUUCUCAACAGGUAAAAUUUUAUCUUCGGCAAUCUCUCUAUUGCCAAUAGAACCAUCAUUAGAAUCGGCAUAUAACUCUUUUACCUCAAGACUAAAAGCCUCUGGCUUAUCCAAGUAUAGACUAGGAUCUUUCCCAAAAGAGAACUCGUACUUAUUGGCGCUUCUAGAGGAUACAAAGUCUGAGAAAACUUGCUCACAAUCCUCCCUAUAAGUCUGGAACUGAAAUUUAAAAAAGAACUUUGUCGUCUCUUCUUCCUUUAAAUCAGCAUUUUCUUUUGUACUUCUAAAUUCAGCAAUACCAACUUCUGGUUCUUCAGCUUCAGAUUCCUGCUCCACACAAUUCGAAUUGAGUUCUGGUUUCUUCGCUCUAGUUUCUUGCUCUACACAAUUCGAGCUGAGUUCUAAACAAUUCGAAUUGUUAAUUUGAGAGCUGAAAUUUCGUUUCACCCUGAAAAUGGUUCUAUGGAAGAAACCAAACAGAGUAAGGAACAGAGCUGAAACAGAGACCCAGAAAGAGUCUGCAAAGAGAAUCAAUUUUUGAUGGAGAAACCCACUAACAGAACCCAUGUUUAGCAAUCUAAGAUGGGAACUGAUAAAAAAUUCCUAAUGGGUACCCAUCAAUUUAACCCAUUAACCUACGAUUUUCAUCCUCAAGCAAAGCAGACGAAAGAGACAGAGCAGUCAUGGAAACUCUGAUAUCUAGUUUGAAAUCCACGAAGAAGAAUGGACUUUUCACCAGUAUAGAAAUAAGAGCGAACGUCAAAAUCAGGGUAUAUACAUGUAAAUCAGAUUCAGAGAAGUUGAAAUCUGACCUAAAAUAGGAGAUUAAAGUGGGGGAUUGUUAUUGUUAGGCAAGAGUUAAGGAGAGAAAAGAACAUAUCAGCGACUAGGGUUUUAGAGCUUGCUUAGAACCUCGGAAUUCUCGAGACCGUUAUGUGACUCGGAUUUAGAGAAAGAUUUCCUUCAGUUGGAAGGGUCUGUUUUGCCUAGUGUUUUGUAUGCAAGUUCUUGGUGUGUGUGUGAGAGAGAGAGAG